UGACGGUACCUGACUAAGAAGCCCCGGCUAACUACGUGCCAGCAGCCGCGGUAAUACGUAGGGGGCAAGCGUUAUCCGGAUUUACUGGGUGUAAAGGGUGCGUAGGUGGCAGAACAAGUCUGGAGUAAAAGGUAUGGGCUCAACCCGUACUGGCUCUGGAAACUGUUCAGCUAGAGAACAGAAGAGGACGGCGGAACUCCAUGUGUAGCGGUAAAAUGCGUAGAUAUAUGGAAGAACACCGGUGGCGAAGGCGGCCGUCUGGUCUGUUGCUGACACUGAAGCACGAAAGCGUGGGGAGCAAAUAGGAUUAGAUACCCUAGUAGUCCACGCCGUAAACGAUGAGAACUAGGUGUUGGGGGAAUAACUUCAGUGCCGCAGUUAACGCAAUAAGUUCUCCGCCUGGGGAGUAUGCACGCAAGUGUGAAACUCAAAGGAAUUGACGGGGGCCCGCACAAGCGGUGGAGUAUGUGGUUUAAUUCGAAGCAACGCGAAGAACCUUACCAGGCCUUGACAUCCCUUGCAGAGGUAUAGAGAUAUAUCCGAGGUUAUCAAGGAGACAGGUGGUGCAUGGUUGUCGUCAGCUCGUGUCGUGAGAUGUUGGGUUAAGUCCCGCAACGAGCGCAACCCUUGUGAUAUGUUUCUAACAUUGAGUUGAGGACUCAUAUCAGACUGCCGGUGAUAAACCGGAGGAAGGUGGGGAUGACGUCAAAUCAUCAUGCCCCUUAUGGCCUGGGCUACACACGUACUACAAUGGCGUCUACAAAGAGCGGCAAGCCUGUGAAGGCAAGCGAAUCUCAUAAAGGACGUCUCAGUUCGGAUUGAAGUCUGCAACCCGACUUCAUGAAGCUGGAAUCGCUAGUAAUCGCGAAUCAGCAUGUCGCGGUGAAUACGUUCUCGGGCCUUGCACACACCGCCCGUCAA
rnacentral:rRNA from 1 species